AACCGCCUCCACCCGUCUCCCUUCACCAUCGACCCUCGGGUCCAGCAAGGAAGCCCUAAGUGACGUCAACCUUUGUUCCCAUGUAUUUCUGAUCCUCCUGACAGCCCUGCAGUUGGCUUUGGAUAUGGUAAACCUAAGGAAAGUAAAGCUCAGCAAGGUGGGGUGGCUCACCCAGUCCAAGGGCAGAUUGCAGGGACUCCUCUUCACCACAUCUUGUCCAUUCCCUUACUCGUGAGGGUCUCCUGAGCACUGGCAGUGAGCAGGUGCUGGACAUGCCACAGGGAACACGGCAGAUCCUCUGCCGUCCCGAAGCACACAUCAUGGUGCUCCCCUUGACUUUCACCAGGAUGAUUCCGGGUACGGGCCAGUUACCUGAACAUCCUGGGGGGCCCACGUCCCUUCUACUUGUCCUCAAGAAUGACUUAAAGAGUCUGGUCUGACCCCCCCACAGGUUUCUGCCCAUGGAGGGCAACUGGACAGCGGCUAUCACCACGACAAACGCAGCCACCCCUGACUCAUUAAUGCUACUUCCAGGAACUUAUCUUCUAGAAAUGCUUGAAUAUGUAUAGAGGGGCACUGGCCUAAGAAUAUUUAUUGCAGCAUUGUUUGUAAUAUAAAAGUAGUAAAAACAACUCAAAUUUCCACCAA